rnacentral:rRNA from 1 species
UCCGUUGGUGAACCAGCGGAGGGAUCAUUACUAGAAGAGCUUCAAACCUCUUUAAAACCCAUUGUGAAUCUACCUGUUCGUUGCUUCGGCGGGCUACCCCAGGGCGGGGUUGAAGCCUGCGAAGGCGCCCGCCGAAGUCGACACCACCAACUCUUGGCAACAACUGUCAUCUGAGACUAAAGACUAAAUAAGUCAAAACUUUCAACAACGGAUCUCUUGGUUUGGGCAUCGAUGAAGAACGCAGCGAAAUGCGAUAAGUAAUGUGAAUUGCAGAAUUCAGUGAAUCAUCGAAUCUUUGAACGCACAUUGCGCCCGCCAGCAUUCUGGCGGGCAUGCCUGUCCGAGCGUCAUUUCCACCCUCAGGCCCUCGUUGCCUGGCGUUGGGGCUUCUGCGGCCUGGCCGCAGGCCCCCAAGAUCAGUGGCGGGCCCGCCGCGGCUCCUAGCGCAGUAGCACUACUCUCGCUAAGGGGCGUCGCGGCGGGUCUCUCCGGCCGUGAAAAAGACACAACCACGUAUCAAGGUUGACCUCGGAUCAGG